rnacentral:rRNA from 1 species
GACGAACGCUGGCGGCGUGCUUAACACAUGCAAGUCGAACGGAAAGGCCCUGCUUGCAGGGUACUCUAGUGGCGAACGGGUGAGUAACACGCGGGUGAUCCGCCCUCCUCUUCGGGAUAAGCCUGGGAAACAGGGUCUAAUAUCGCAUAGGAGCCCUUUUUAGUCUGAUGGUUGGAUAGUUUUUUCCGUGUAGGGUGAGCUGGGGGCCUAUCAGCUUGUUGGUGGGGUAAUGGGCUACCAAGGCGGCGUCGGGUAGGCGGCCUGCGGGGGUGGACGGCCAAAAUGGGGACGGGGAUCGGCCCAGACCCCCAAGGGGAGGCAGAGGGGGGGAUAAUGGAACAUGGGCGCAAGCCUGGUGGAGCGACGCCGCGUGGGGGGUGACGGGCUUCGGGUUGUAAAAUCGUUUCGGUAGGGACGAAGCUUUUUGUGACGGUACCUAGAUAAGAAGCACCGGCUAACUACGUG